UCCUUCCUUGCAAGAAGUUGCAGUAGAAUGAUAAAAAAAACUCAACUUGACAAUAGCCUUUUGACUUCCUACUUGCCUUUUCAUUGAAAAACUUCACCUCCUACAUAGACUCAUACUUACUAAGCUCUGCAUUAGUAGUCCACCAAUGAAAAUCACCCACAAACAAUAUAGUACCACCUAAACCAGUAGCACCUCCAAUUCCUCUAGUAUUAACACUACUAACAACACUCACAUUGUUUCCAAUAUCAUUUCCAUCAACCCUAUUAACAUUCCCUCUUCCUCCACCGCCACCAACACCACCUUGACCUUAUCUCACCAAACCUCAUUUCCCACAAUCCCAACAACCCUACCAUGUGGUUGCUAUGCAAUCCCUUGCACUGCAGCACCAUCAUUCCCACCUUGUUCCUCAAUUUCACUCAAAUUUCUAGAUUGGUGUACCCUAAUUCCACCUUUGGCACCCACCUCAUUCCCUCUAAACCCUUGAUUCUGAAACCCAUCAACCCUCCCCAACAUGGUGGGGUUGCAAUUGCGGUAGAAGAGGGGGUGGUGGGCACUGCGGCCGAUGGUAGUUGUGGAGUUGCACGAAGGGGCGCUGGGGUUGCUGGUGGUGUGUGUUGAUGAUAAGGUUGGUGAUAGAGGUAGUUGCACACUGGCUGAGAACUCAAACACGGUGGAGGAGAUGACGUACAAACCUGAGAACACCACAAAAACCAUUAGCACCUUCGACCUUCGAGAGAGAGAUUUGGAAAGACCAAACUUUUCCACUGCCAAACCCAAGCUCCAGUAAAGAAAGAUUGGGGCUGCUUCAUAAUCCCACCUUUUUCAUUUAAAUUGAAUUAAAAUAUGGUGUCAUGUUAAACGACACGUGAUCAACUGACAUAUCACACUUAAUCCAACGUGACAUCACAGGUAGUUUGUAGAUGUAUCAAGUUAACGAUUACAUCAGUAAUUAACGGAUCUCUUUUAACAGCAGAGACCUUGUAUAAAACUUU
rnacentral:lncRNA from 1 species